rnacentral:misc_RNA from 1 species
CCCAAGGAACAACAGCCAUACAUUCAUUAGUUCCUUCUUCUUCCUCAACAAGUUCUAUAUUAGCAGUGCGGUUCAUCCAAGGAAACUGAUUCUUAAAUCCAGAAAAGAAGUUGGAAUCCACAGAGACAGAAAAAUUAGAAGACGAAUGUAGGAGAGGAUUAGUAUGAACAGGCUUGAACACAACAAUAGCCUUCUCUUGGUUCAAUCCUGAACUCAAAUCCUUCGCUUCCCCUUCAACACCGCUAGUAACACCGACCAUCGGAUGAAUAUCCGCCUCUUCUUCCUCCAUUAUCGGCGGUAAUUCCGAGUCCAGCCGGCGAAUCUUUCGAGCAGGGGAAGAAAGAGAGAAAUCGGAGAAGUCAUCACUAACGUCGUCAAGCUCCUUUCUCUUCAUCUUGAUGGACGGGAAGUAUCCUCCAGCCAUUAUUUUCCAAUGAGUUUUGAUCUUCUUCAAAAAUCAGAGAAGCAAAGCAGAGAAGCUACGAGAGAUACGAUUGAUAAUCCUGAGGGCACCGAUUUGCCGAAAGCUUGGAACUUAUAGAAAGAGUUAGAGAUAUUUCUCUGGAGAAAUCGAGAACC